rnacentral:lncRNA from 1 species
UUGUUGACACUAGGGGUCAACAGACCACACUUUAAGGACUGUUGCUUAUUAAUUCAGAAACAACAAAGUUCGGAAAGACUACCAGAAAAAAAAAAUAAUCGCCACACUGACUUCCACAAUGGUUGAACUAGUUUACAGUCCCACCAACAGUGUAAAAGUGUUCCUAUUUCUCCACAUCCUCUCCAGCACCUGUUGUUUCCUGAGUUUUUAAUGAUCACCAUUCUAACUAGUGUGAGAUGGUAUCUCAUUGUGGUUUUGAUUUGCAUUUUAUCAUAUGUAAACAUAUAUAUAUAAGACACAUAUAUAUGUGCUUUUUAAAGAGACUUCUCACCAUUUUACCCUAUCCUUCCCAAAAUUAUUUUUAAAAAUAGUUUUGCUCAAUCUAUACAAAGAAAAAUUUCAUUUUUAUUUGAAUGGUUCCAAUUCUAGUCAUCUGAAAAGCUAAAUAAUUUAUCAGAAUGUUGUUGGUUAGAGAUGAAAUAAGAAUGAAAGAUGAUAAAUGUUCUUAAGGAUAUUUCAUCUAGGCCUUGAUAAAAGAUGAGAAAAUAACCUCACAACAAAGCACAACAGACCUUCAUAGUAACUGAAACUAAAUGUCUGUCUCCCC